rnacentral:rRNA from 1 species
AUUGAACGCUGGCGGGAUGCCUAACACAUGCAAGUCGAGCGAGUGGCGGACGGGUGAGUAAUGUAUGGGGACUGCCCCUUCUAGGGGGAUAACUACUGGAAACCGUGGCUAAUACCGCAUACUAUCGGAUAACCCAUAUGGGCUUAGCUAGUUGGUGGGGUAAAGGCUCACCCAGGCGACGAUCUGUAGCUGGUCUGAGAGGAUGACCUGGCAGACUGGGACUGAGACACGGUCCAGACUCCUACGGAGGCAGCAGUGGGGAAUGUUGCACAAUGGGCUCAAGCCUGAUCCAGCCAUGCCGCGUGUAUGAAGAAGGCCUUAGGGUUGUAAAGUACUUUGGGCAGGGAAGCGUUACCCGCAGAAGAAGCACCGGCUAACUACGUGCCAGCCGCCGCGGUAAUAC